ACUUUGUCACGCCCUGUUCACUGUAGUUGACAGUUCACUGCUCUCAUCAGGCCUAGAUGUACCACAAGACAUCUCACUGAAUCAUCUGACUUCCAGAUUCAUUCUUCCUCCUGCUGCUGUGCAUAUGCAACCUUACUUUCUCAUUAUAAUUAGGGUCAGCUAUCCCCAUGAAUAUAGUAGCUAUUUUAGUUGCCCUCUUGUACACAUCAUGAGUAUCCAUAGUUACCAUGCAGUGGUCACAGCUUUGAGUUCAUGAUACUUACUAAUCCCUGUUAGAAGCAGAACUCUCCCGUAUCCCAAGAAUAAGAAUAUCUAAUUCAGCAGAGCCAAAGUUGCAAAACCCAGAAGCAUACAUGCUGCAGAUAGGUUACUACGGGGGCUACUCUUACUCCUACCUUUUGGUCCUUAGACCCACAUAUUCCACCUACUGGAGACACCAUGUCAUGUAACAUCAUGUAUCAAUGGUGUGCCAUGCAUUGAUUCAGUGAAUAUACUGCAACUUGGAAUAUUGAACCCCCAAAAAACAGGAUCCUGUCUCCAAACUACUACCUAAGCAGACACUUUAAGAGGCCACUUCAUUAUUAGAUCAGGUUGAUUUCUUCCAAGUGAUGUGACAUUUAGUAAGAACGGCAGAUCUUAAGAUCACGUGCCUGGUGUUUCAUUUCCCUCAUUUCCUUGAUUUCAGGCAAGAUCAUGAAUCACCCCACAUUGCUAAUUCAGCAUUCUUAAAGAUCUGGAAUGGUAGGGCAGGCAGAGACACCAUAAUCAGAGAAAGCAAACCCAUAGAAUGAAUCACUGUUCCCCCAAGGAUGGAAGGGGUCUGAUGUUGUCAGUUUGCUGUCAAACACCUGGUUUGUCCUGAAGGGGUCAGUAUCUGCCUCUGCUGCUGGAAGAUCAUGUAAUCAGUGGUAGGUAGCCUUGGGGAGAAAAAGCCAUGAUGUUGAGUGUGUGCAGCAUCUCCAUCUCUGCCACAUGGCCACUCCACUCAUGGGCCUAUUGUGCAUGUUGUAAGUGACUAAAGAGAGGCUAAAGAACUUCAACUGACCAGUCAUCUGGUACAUUGGCUUACCCUCUGGUAGAUGUAGACAAGGAUCUGCAUGCUCUGGAUACAUUCUUAUGAAUCUUCUAACAUUUCCCAGGCUUCUUGUUUCUAAUCUUUCAGACUGUCUCCUUCCAGGCCUCUAAAGAGCAGGAAAAGUCACCUUCCAUUGCCUGGAAAUCAGUCUAUAUUCUAACCUCAGGCUACCCUCCUCUCAAGAUGGCUGCUUGCCUCUCUGUCCUGUGGGAGGAUUUCUCUUCACCACAGUCCUAUAAGAUGACUGGGUGGGUCUACGGUGAAGCUGCAGUCUUUUUUUUUUUUUUUUUUUUUUUUUUUUUUUUUUUUGUGCUCACCAACAUACUGAGCUAACCCAUCCAUGAAUCAGGCUUGAGGUUUUUUUUCAUCAUUCAUCAGCUGGCUUCAAGCAUCUCCAUGAAGCCCUAGGGGUGAACUCAGGGAGAGGCACCAGUGUUAACAGUGACAAGAAAAAUGGGAAUUUGAGCCAUCUGUUCAUGGAACUUUCUUAAUCCCUCUAGACCUGUUUAGGCCAAAUUCUGAAUAUAGCAUUUCAAUCCAUGGAUUGUUGUCCACUCUAUGAUUCAGUGAAUUCAAAAAUACCCAGGUCAUCAUGAGAAGCUGAAGCCAUAGAGUUGUCUGAUGUCAUAUAAUUAGAUAUUCCUUCUCUAUUCUGACCCAGCAAUAGGCCAGAAGCUACUUUUCAAAUGGGAAGGAUAUUUUUGCUGUGGAAGGUAAGGCCUUCCUCCAGAACCUUAAAGACUUUCAUUGUGAGGCUGUUAGUAUAACCUACCACACACUCCACAGUAAUAUUAUAUUUCACUUUCUCACUAAAUUUUCUGAAUCAUAUUCCCAAGAGUCAAGGAGCUCACAUGACAGCCUGGACCUGCUGCAGGCAUUGGUAGUUAUGAAUAGCCACCCUGGUAUAUGAAUGACAUUCAGAAAUACUCCUAUUGUCCAAUCUACUAACUUAUCUAGUAAUGACAGUCCCGGGCUUGUGGUCAUAUCACCCUAUGAGAAUAUCUGAGUGAGGCCCAGAUUCCUGAUUGUCUGCAAACAGUGGCAGUUUUAAACCACUAAAUAUUGGGCCGCUCUUACCUGAAAGUGGCAUAUGUCACGUCUGUCUUCAUUUCAUGGGACUAAGGAAGUCACAGAGCCAACAAAGCACAAAUGCAUAAUCCCUCCAUAUGUACAGUGACGACAGGAAGAAACACUAGUUGGCAUGGUAAAGAAUUGUAGACCCUACCACAGUCCCUACACAACUAAAUAUUCAGAUCACCUGCUCAAUCUAAAUAAAGGUUUGCCAUAGUUGUUGUUGCUGUUGUUUAAAUGAGGCAAACUUUGAUAAAGCCAUUCCAGAGAUAAAAGCACAUUUAACAUAAUUUAUUGAGUACUUGUAAUUGAUGGUAACAUAAUGACUGAUUUAAAAGAACCAUUCAGCUCCUUUGAUAA
rnacentral:lncRNA from 1 species